rnacentral:rRNA from 1 species
GACGAACGCUGGCGGCGUGCUUAACACAUGCAAGUCGAGCGGUAAGGCCCUUUCGGGGGGUACACGAGCGGCGAACGGGUGAGUAACACGUGGGUGACCUGCCCUCAGCUCUGGGAUAAGCCUGGGAAACCGGGUCUAAUACUGGAUAUGACUCCAUGACGCAUGUUGUGGGGUGGAAAGCCUUGUGCGGCUGAGGAUGGGCCCGCGGCCUAUCAGCUUGUUGGUGGGGUGANGGCCUACCAAGGCGACGACGGGUAGCCGGCCUGAGAGGGCGACCGGCCACACUGGGACUGAGACACGGCCCAGACUCCUACGGGAGGCAGCAGUGGGGAAUCUUGCGCAAUGGGCGAAAGCCUGACGCAGCGACGCCGCGUGAGGGAUGACGG